UACGGGGGGGGCAAGCGUUGUUCGGAAUUACUGGGCGUAAAGGGCUCGUAGGUGGCUCACUAAGUCAGACGUGAAAUCCCUCAGCUUAACUGGGGAACUGCGUCUGAUACUGGAUGGCUUGAGAUUGGGAGAGGGAUGCGGAAUUCCAGGUGUAGCGGUGAAAUGCGUAGAGAUCGGGAAGAACAUCGGUGGCGAAGGCGCUCUACUGGACCACAACUGACACUCAGGGACGAAAGCUAGGGGAGCGAAUGGG
rnacentral:rRNA from 1 species